AUGGUAAUUGCACUUAGGAGUUCACACUUUCAUUCUACUAGGUUACCACUAUAUACUGUUAGGUGUCACUGGUGGAUUAUGAGACUCAUCGGGUGUCAUCUUGAUGAUCGAUGACCCUUGAAGGAUAGAGUUGAAAUUUUUUAACCCAUCAAAAGGAGUUUUGAUGAUAUUGUGAUAAAGAUCAUAAUAUAUCUCACUACUUGACAGAAUGGAACCUAUGGGGUCACACGCAAAAGAGGUUCUUGUUCAAUCAGAUGGCUGAUCGAUGAUUGUGAAUCAUUGAAGGGUAA
rnacentral:lncRNA from 1 species